GCCGGCAGCUAUCCCUCUGCAACUCUCACAUGGUCGCCCACUGAAGCUAAGCAGGGCUGUGCCCGGUCAGUACUUGGAUGGGAGACCACAUGGGAAAACUAGGCUGCUGCCGGAA
rnacentral:rRNA from 1 species